ACGCUCGACACCUACGGGGGCAGCAGUGGGGAAUAUUGCACAAUGGGGGAAACCCUGAUGCAGCGACGCCGCGUGAAGGAAGAAGUAUUUCGGUAUGUAAACUUCUAUCAGCAGGGAAGAAAAUGACGGUACCUGAGUAAGAAGCACCGGCUAAAUACGUGCCAGCAGCCGCGGUAAUCUGAGCGGGCUGGCAAGGC
rnacentral:rRNA from 1 species